rnacentral:rRNA from 1 species
UACAGAGGUCCCAAGCGUUGUUCGGAUUCACUGGGCGUAAAGGGUGCGUAGGCGGUCGGGUAAGUCUGACGUGAAAUCUCCGGGCCUAACCCGGAAACUGCGUCGGAUACUAUCCGGCUAGAGGAUUGGAAGGGAGACUGGAAUACUUGGUGUAGCAGUGAAAUGCGUAGAUAUCAAGUGGAACACCAGUGGCGAAGGCGGUUCUCUGGGCCUUACCUGACGCUGAGGAGCGAAAGCGUGGGGAGCGAACAGG